rnacentral:rRNA from 1 species
CAAACGGUAACAGGAUGUGCUUGCACAUCGCUGACGAGUGGCGGACGGGUGAGUAAUGCUUAGGGAUCUGCCUCUGUGUGGGGGAUAACUAUUGGAAACGAUAGCUAAUACCGCAUAAUGUUUACGGACCAAAGGGGGCGUUUGCUCCCGCGCAGAGAGGAACCUAAGUGAGAUUAGCUGGUUGGUAAGGUAAUGGCUUACCAAGGCGACGAUCUCUAGCUGUUCUGAGAGGAAGAUCAGCCACACUGGGACUGAGACACGGCCCAGACUCCUACGGGAGGCAGCAGUGGGGAAUAUUGCACAAUGGGGUGAACCCUGAUGCAGCCAUGCCGCGUGUGUGAAGAAGGCCUUCGGGUUGUAAAGCACUUUCAGUUGUGAGGAAAGGUUAGUAGUUAAUACCUGCUAGCUGUGACGUUAGCAACAGAAGAAGCACCGGCUAACUCCGUGCCAGCAGCCGCGGUAAUACGGAGGGUGCGAGCGUUAAUCGGAAUUACUGGGCGUAAAGCGCACGCAGGCGGUUUGUUAAGCUAGAUGUGAAAGCCCCGAGCUCAACUUGGGAUGGUCAUUUAGAACUG